UACGUAGGGGGCAAGCGUUGUCCGGAAUCAUUGGGCGUAAAGCGCGUGUAGGCGGCUCGAUAAGUCUGUUGUGAAAGUUCAGGGCUCAACCCUGAAAUGCCGGUGGAAACUGUCGAGCUAGAGUACGGAAGAGGCGAGUGGAAUUCCUGGUGUAGCGGUGAAAUGCGCAGAUAUCAGGAGGAACACCAAUUGCGAAGGCAGCGCGCUGGGACGGUACUGACGCUGAGACGCGAAAGCGUGGGGAGCAAACAGG
rnacentral:rRNA from 1 species